CCUACGGGUGGCAGUAGUGAGGAAUAUUGGUCAAUGGACGCAAGUCUGAACCAGCCAAGUAGCGUGCAGGAUGACGGCCCUCCGGGUUGUAAACUGCUUUUAGUUGGGAAUAAAAGGGGGCUCGUGAGCCCCGUAUUGUAUGUACCAUCAGAAAAAGGACCGGCUAAUUCCGUGCCAGCAGCCGCGGUAAUACGGAAGGUCCGGGCGUUAUCCGGAUUUAUUGGGUUUAAAGGGAGCGUAGGCCGGCUUUUAAGUCAGCUGUGAAAGUCCGCGGCUCAACCGUGGAAUUGCAGUUGAAACUGGAGGCCUUGAGUGCACACAGGGAUGCCGGAAUUCGUGGUGUAGCGGUGAAAUGCUUAGAUAUCACGAAGAACUCCGAUUGCGAAGGCAGCUCACUGGACUGCAACUGACACUGAGGCUCGAAAGUGUGGGUAUCAAACAGGAUUAGAUACCCGUGUAGUC
rnacentral:rRNA from 1 species